AGUAGCCAAGCUUUUGUUCGUAGUCGUAUUAUUAAUAUUAGGUCGUUCGCGUCGUGAAUACGAAUUGGAAGUUUACCACAAAGUUGACCCUUUUAAAAUAGAAAAAUUAAAAGUUAAGAUGUAUAGAAAGGCCAAUAGGUUCGUAGGCAUAAUUAUUCCUAUUAUGUAAAAGAGCUGCUUUGAGGAAAACUGUGAGAGAAAAAAAAAUUUUAAAUUGAUGAUGCUUAGUGAAUUGAAACUAGUGCCAUAUUUAUUCUCAUUAUUCAAAACUGCUUUAGGAAAGAUUUUAAAUGAAAAACUUUGUUAGGGGCUGCAAGAAUAUAAUUUUUUAGAACUGCUAGACAUGGAAAAGUUUGGGAACCUGUGUCUUAGAAGAUGAUAUUGUGAAGUUCAGUUUUGAACUAAUAAAGAAUACUGUAUAUGUACAUAUAAAAAAAUCUAAUAUCUA